rnacentral:rRNA from 1 species
AUUGAACGCUGGCGGCAUGCUUUACACAUGCAAGUCGAACGGCAGCGCGGGCUUCGGCCUGGCGGCGAGUGGCGAACGGGUGAGUAAUGCAUCGGAACGUGCCCAGUAGUGGGGGAUAGCCCGGCGAAAGCCGGAUUAAUACCGCAUACGACCUGAGGGUGAAAGCGGGGGACCGAAAGGCCUCGCGCUAUUGGAGCGGCCGAUGUCGGAUUAGCUAGUUGGUGGGGUAAAGGCUUACCAAGGCGACGAUCCGUAGCUGGUCUGAGAGGACGACCAGCCACAGGGGGAAGGAGACAGGCCCCAGACCCCUGGGGGAGGGAGCAGGGGGAAAUUUGGGAGAAGGGGGGCACCCUGAACCCAGCCGUGCCGGGGGGGGAAAGAGGGCGUGGGGUUUGAAACCGGGUUUUUUGGGGAAAAAAACCCUCGGGGCUAAUACCCCGGGGGGAUGAGGGUACGGAAAAAAAAAGCCCGGGCAAACUCCGUG